AGGUCCAAUAAAUAUAGUUAAUGAAAGCCCAACCCUUCCUUCUCUUCUCAUCGACCGACCUUCACUUUCUUCCUUCUUCGAUUUCCGGCGAAAGUCUCUCCCUCUUCUAACUCUUCUCCUCAAUUCCAUCGAAGACUCUCCAAUCAAACAGGGUUUGAUUAGGGUUUAAGCGUUUCGGAUUUAGAUCCAUUCAGCUACAAUGGAAGCUCCUGAGAAACAAGAAGAGAUCGUCUCUGAUGUAAAGGACUGGAAAACUGGCUGGCACUGUCAACUGGGGUACUGCCACAGUCGUUGGAGUAUUUGCCGGCAUGUUGUAUGGAGGUAGCAAAGCGGCUUCCGAGUCUGUGAGCAAGGAUGCAGAAGUAAUGUUGAAGCUUGGGAGCACUCCGGAUAAGCGUGAACAGUAUCGACUCAUGAGGGAUGCAAUGGAGAAGAGAUUUAUUACAGUUGCUCGUGGUUCCAUCAUCGGUGGAAUUCGACUGGGGAUGUUCACUGCUGCCUUUUACGGUUUGCAGAAUCUUCUUGCUGAGAAACGAGGUGUAAUUGAUGUUUAUAAUGUAGUUGGAGCUGGUUCUGCUACUGCUUCUACGUUUGGUUUAAUCUUGCCUGGUUCCUUCCGUUGGCGCUUAAGGAAUGCAAUGGUGGGCUCACUUUUGGGUGCAGCUAUCUGCUUUCCACUCGGUUGGCUUCAUUUGAAGCUUGUGGCGAAAGCAAAUGGAGGGAAAUUGACUACUAGGAACGAGGAAGCGAAAAGCGGUAUUGCUGCUGCCGUUGAGAGGCUUGAAGGUAACUUAGAAAAGAGGGCCUGAUUGUCUUGCAACGCCCUGAUGUUAGCAGCGGUGCUCGUGAGUGCCCACGUGGAUGGUUUUUGCUUUAUCCUAGAAGCAAGGUGGCUAAUUUUGACGUUUUGUCGAACACUCCUUUCCGGGUGCACCAUUGAUGCCCUCCAUUCCUCAAUAUCAGCUGCUUUCUCAUGAUCCAAACUUGGAAGACGAUGCUGCUGCAGAAGUUCAAGAAUCUCUCGACUCUCGCCAAGAAGAACAGCUGCUCGUCUCACAUUCUCUUGCCUGUCUUUGGUUGCAUCGUUGUGACACUUGAAGAUUAUGACAUGAGCUAAGUUGGUGAGACAGGCCGCCAGUAUGUCCGAGAUCAUCACACACAGCUUCUCAAAGAGAACUUUAUCCGUUCGAUGUAUGUUGUCUUUGUUGUCCAACAAGAUGGUUUGAGUGAUUCUGUACAUCGAGUUAGCAGCUAUGACUUUGCUCGGCCAAUUCAGAGGGUUCUCCAUCAUAAUAUCUUCAAUCCUAGUUGUGAAAUCUUUAACUGUCUUUUCUCCAAGAUUGGAUAGCUUUUGCAGUGUCUCUUUGUAAGUUUCAUCUCCCAUAUUUGUAUUCUGCAGAUCCUUAUCCUGCCAUUUCCUGUAGAGUUCGACACCUACCCACACCGCGUCUGCUGCAUUCUUCACGUGUUCCAUGUCUCCGGUUCUAUCAAGAGUUCCAUCGACAAGCUUGACAAGGGACAAGCCUUCACCAACACCACUCACUAGCUUAUUAGCCUCAUGAGCGGGUAUGUUAGGAAGCGCGACUGCAAUGCUUGUCAAGCUCACCAGUGGCAGAGACCAGCAGUUCUUGGGUUCUUGAAGAUAUAAGCUUGGAACUUCAUACCUGUCAAAUUCUUUCACCCCAUUGAAGCUCACAGAUUUGUUAAGCAGCCUCCUUAGAUUCUUGCAUUGCUUCAUCUCACCUCUUUCAAUCAACUUAUCCAACUCAUUGCAAAUGUUUCUCAUGAUCCUCUCAGGCAGCUGCGCCUCUCCUUCAAGUAACAGAACGUACGGCCUCAAAUCGAGCUCUAUGUCAAAAGUAACAAAUCAAGCGUACCAAAUCAAGCAUGAUUAGAGGAGAAUAUAUUUGAUUGAUAUGAAAUAAAUGUGUAAUACAUAGUCUAGAAUUAGAUUGAUCUAUUACCUUAUUUACAUUGUACAAUCUCCCUAUAAAUUGGGGAGAUAACCGAGAGCUAAUCAAUGAAGAUAUACAAUUCUCUUCUCUCAAAA